rnacentral:rRNA from 1 species
UACGUAGGGUGCGAGCGUUGUCCGGAAUUAUUGGGCGUAAAGAGCUCGUAGGCGGUGUGUCACGUCGGCCGUGAAACCUGCAGCUUAACUGUGGCGUGCGGUCGAUACGGGCAUCACUGGAGUUCGGCAGGGGAGACUGGAAUUCCUGGUGUAGCGGUGAAAUGCGCAGAUAUCAGGAGGAACACCGGUGGCGAAGGCGGGUCUCUGGGCCGAUACUGACGCUGAGGAGCGAAAGCGUGGGGAGCGAACAGG